AUGACCAACACAAAGGGAAAGAGGAGGCCACCCACUAUAUGUUCUCUAGGCCUUUUAAAAAACAUGGAGUUGUUCCUUCCAUGCGAAUCUACAAGAAAGGUGGUAUUGUAGGUAUCAAGCGAAUGGGCUCUGUUCAAAAAGGAAUGCCCCACAAAUGUUACCAUGGCAAAAUUGCAAGUCUACAGCAUUACCCAGCAUGCUGUUGGCAUCGCUGUAAACAAACAAGUUAAGGGCAAGGUUAUUGCCAAGAGAAUUAAUGUGCAUAUUGAGCAUAUUAAGCACUCUGAGAGCAGAGAUAGUUUCCUGAAAUGUGUGAAGGAAAAUGAUCAGAAUAAGAAGGAAGCCAACGAGAAAGGUACUUGGGUUCAGCUGAAGCACCAGCCUGCUCCACCCAGAGAAGCACACUUCGUGAGAACCAAUGGAAGGGAGCCUGAACUGUUGGAACCCAUUCCCUAUGAAUUCAUGGCAUGAUAGC